rnacentral:rRNA from 1 species
UAGGGUAAAUGCCUACCAAGCCGAUGAUCAAAAGCCAUGUUUGAUAGAGCAGAUGGCCACAUUGGGUAUGAAAAGCCCCAAGUAGAAUUAUCUACCAGCAGUCAAGAAUAUUAGUCAAUGCUCGCAAGAGUGAACUAGCUAACUGAAAUCACAGGAUCCACUACGUGUGGUGAAUGUUAUAACGUAAGGGAAAAAAAUGAUAUUACCUUACUAUUAGUGUUGUCCAAAACUGGUGCCAGAAGACUCGGUAAGGCCAGAGACGCAAACGUUAGUCGUCCUAAUCAGGCGUAAAGGGUAUGUAGGCUGCUUUAAAAGUUGUAAUUAUAAUAUUUUAAUAGCUCUGUUUAAAUAGAUACUUUUUAUUUAUCACAGUAAAAUAUACAAUGAAUUAAAGCUAGGAUCAAAUUGAGGAUAAUUUAAAGAAUACUUAGUGUAGGGUUUACAUCUGGUGAUACUAAGGGGAAUACUAACGGUGAAAGCUUUUUAUCUAGAAAUGAUUGACGCUGAGAAACGAAGGUGAGAAUAGGAAAUAGGAUUAGAUACCCAGAUACCUCUCACAGUCAACGAUGAAUGGUGGUUGUUAGUUAGUUUUAUUUAACUGAUAACGAUGUUAACACGAUAACCAUUCCGCCUUGCGAGUACGGUUGCAAAACUGAAACCAAAAAAAUUAGUCGGUCUCGAAGCAAACGAAGUGAAGCAUGUUAUUUAAUACGAUAAUACGCGUAAAAUCUUACCAGUCCUUGUAUAUCCAAUUUUUCUAAUUUUGUUAGAGAGAUUGAGUAGUUUCUUUGUAUUAAAAAAUUAAGAAAUUCGUUUA